rnacentral:lncRNA from 11 species
CUUACUGCUUUGUGCCUCCUCCUCCUUUUCCAUGUUCCUUCUCUAAAGGGAUUUUGAGAUAAAUGAAGGAGAUUGUUGGGAGUUGAAUCAACCCUGUGAGCCAGAAUGGUGAUCGCCAAACACUGGAAAUCCGAAAAAAUAUUGACGAA